GCGUCGAUAGCUCAUUGGGGCUGAGCAUUGGGACGGUUGCCCACGUGUGUUGGGUUCGAACCCCGGUUGACGCU